UGGACCUGAGUUUUUGGGGGAACACAGGUGGAAUCUGAAAAAAAUAACAUGACGAAUCCCCUAAAAUUAACAAUUACGAGUGCAUUCAGCUCUUUAAUUUCAGUGACUGAACUAAAAACCACAGUCCAGCUGUUACUGAGGGUCAGACGCCUCAUGUCCACUCAUUUAUGUGAAGCUGGAACCCCAAAGUCACUUCAUGGGAUCGGUCUACUACCUGGAGCCUUCUGACACAGAGACCAUUAGGAGAAGGAUGUGCUGGUGAUGUCAGGUACAGGCAGGUAAAGGUGCUGAUCUGAGGGAGUCAGAGGAAGGAGCUCUUAUUGACCUGAAACUCAGUUAAACCUCGGCCUCAUCAAGGCUCUAGUCUUGUGGCAGCCUUGUCCGUUUCCUUUUUUAAAGCCAGACCUACGCUCUAUAAAGAUGAACAGAAUUAAAAAAGAGUGACAUGUAAAGCAUAAAGUGAAAAAGACAAAAACACAAUGUUCAC